rnacentral:snRNA from 1 species
GCUUGAAAUUGUCGGGAGGG